rnacentral:lncRNA from 1 species
GAUUACAGUCGGGAUCCAAGCUCCCACCGCCGGUCGUCCCAAAGAACCGGACCUUCAACUCCUCGCAGAACACCCUCACCGUCGACCGUCUCAUCCACCACGUAUCCGACUUAAACGUCGUCCUCACCGCCAUCCUCAAGCUAAACAAAACCUCCCUCGUCGACCUGUACAUCGCUGCCACCUCCGCCACCGCCUCGUU